rnacentral:rRNA from 1 species
UCGGAUCAUGGCUCAGAUUGAACGCUGGCGGGGAUGCUUUACACAUGCAAGUCGAACGGCAGCACGGACUUCGGUCUGGUGGCGAGUGGCGAACGGGUGAGUAAUGUAUCGGAACGUGCCUAGUAGCGGGGAUAACUACAGCGAAAGCGCAGCUAAUACCGGCUAUUGCCUUCGGGGGAAAGCGGGGACCUUCGGGCCUCGCACUAUUAGAGCGGCCGAUAUCGGAUUAGCUAGUUGGUGGGGUAACGGCUCACCAAGGCGACGAUCCGUAGCUGGUUUGAGAGGACGACUAGCCACACUGGGACUGAGACACGGCCCAGACUCCUACGGGAGGCAGCAGUGGGGAAUUUUGGACAAUGGGGGAAACUCCUGAUCCAGCCAUCCGCGUGUGCGAUGAAGGCCUCGGGUUGUAAAGCACUUUUGGCAGGAAAGAAACGGCACGGGAUAAUACCCCGUGCAACUGACGGUACCUGCAGAAUAAGCACCGGCUAACUACGUGCCAGCAGCCGCGGCAGUAAUACGUAGGGUGCAAGCGUUAAUCGGAAUUACUGGGCGUAAAGCGUGCGCAGGCGGUUCCCGGAAAGAAAGAUGUGAAAUCCUCUUAGAGCUUAACUUUUGAACUGCAUUUUUAACUACCGAGCUAGAGUGUGUCAGAGGGAGGUGGAAUCUCGCGUAGCAGUGAAAUUGCGUAGAUAUGCGGAGGAACACCGAUGGCGAAGGCAGCCUCCUGGGAUAAACACUGACGCUCAUGCACGAAAGGUGGGGAGCAAACAGGAUUAGAUACCCUGGUAGUCCACGCCCUAAACGAUGUCAACUAGCUGUUGGGGCCUUCGGGCCUGGUAGCGUGGUGCUAACGCGUGAAGUUGACCGCCUGGGGAGACACGCAAGAUUAAAACUCAAAGGAAUUGACGGGGACCCGCAAGCGGUGGAUGAUGUGGAUUAAUUCGAUGCAACGCGAAAAACCUUACCUACCCACAUGUCUGGAAUCCCGAAGAGAUUUGGGAGUGCUCGCAAGAGAACGAACACAGGUGCUGCAUGAGUUGCCGUCAGCCGUGUCGUGAGAUGUUAAGCAAGUCCCGCAACGAGCGCAACUCCUUGUCAUUAGUUACGCACAAAGGGCACUCUAUCGAGACUGCCGGUGACAAAUCCGAGGAAGGUGUAGACACCGUCAAGUCCUCAUGGUUCUGGGCGGGUAGAGCUUCAACACUGUCACAGUACAAUGGUCGGGACAGAGGUCGCCAACCCGCAGGGGAGCUUAAUCCCAGAACCCGAUCGUAGUCCGGAUCGCAGUUCGCAACCUGACUGCGUGAAGUCGGAAUCGCUAGCAACUGCGGAUCAGCAAUGUCGCGGUGAAUACGUUCCUGGCCCUACACACCUGGCCUGCCGCCACCUGCGGAGUGGGUUUUACCAGAAGUAGUUAGCCUAACCUCGUAAGGAGGCGAUUACCAUUGCAGAUCUUAUGACUGGGGUGAAGUCGUAACAAGGUAG